rnacentral:rRNA from 1 species
UACGUAGGGGGCAAGCGUUGUCCGGAAUCAUUGGGCGUAAAGCGCGUGUAGGCGGUUCGGUAAGUCGGCUGUGAAAGUCCAGGGCUCAACCCUGGGACGCCGGUCGAUACUGCCGGACUAGAGUUCGGAAGAGGCGAGUGGAAUUCCCGGUGUAGCGGUGAAAUGCGCAGAUAUCGGGAGGAACACCAAUGGCGAAGGCAGCUCGCUGGGACGUUACUGACGCUGAGACGCGAAAGCGUGGGGAGCAAACAGG